rnacentral:tRNA from 1 species
GCAUCGUUACUACAAGGCUUGUAGGGAUUGAAAAUCCGCGUGUCCCUGGUUCGAUCCCGGGUCGAGGCACCA